UCGAAAAAGAACCGAAAAACGAAGCCGCCUUCGGUUUGAUUUUGAAGGCGGCAAAUAACCGCAAUUCCGUGGAGUUACAGUGCCCACUCAGCUAGUUUUUACCGAGCCACGAUGUGCAAUAAGCACCGAAAUGGUAAGUUAAUCGUGAUAUUUUACUGUAGUUGCGCUCGUGGAAUGAAAGAGACAAGAAUUUACACAAACAAAAUGCAUUUGUUUUCCUCGUUUGCUUUAUGCGUUGAUUUUGUUCACUUCUGUACAACAUCUAAUCGCUGGAAGAGUCUUUUGUGUAAACAUUUAUUAAAAAAGUGGAAAAGAAUUAAUAAAUAAAUCAAAUUAAUAUAAACAGACUCCGUAAGAGUGAAAGGGAAGCUAACAUUGCAAAGUUAGCGUUGUGCAGGAAAGAUAACAGAUAACAGCAAUGAAAUCGAUUCUCCAUCCAGCUGGCGUUUUGAGCGGCUUAAACUUUAUUUUGAGUGAGGAAAUUGUUCUAGCCUAUAACGUAAGGGAAGAAGGCCCUUAGGACCCACAAAGAAUUUUUUGCAGCUUUGCUAGAAUGUAUUCCGCCUGGCGAUGAGCCCCCCGAAAACACUGUGCGGAAGGCAAUGCAAAGGAUGAAGAAAAGGGUGUUUAAGAAGAAGUGUCUUGCCAAAAACCAGGAGUAGGCUAAGCAUCAUAUAAUUAAAAACUAUUCGUUAUAAUGAAAGACAUUGUGUUUUUAUUUUUGUAUUAUUCCAGACUGCCAGAUUGACUUCUACCAAUAGUCAGUUCGGAACUAGUUACUGGUAACUAGGUCAGAGCUAGCUACAGGUAAUAGAAGGGUAGUCGAGUGGCUAACUAGUUGCUGGCUUUCUACUGGUAACUAGUUCGGAACUACCUUCUGAGCAACUAGCUACGGGUAAUCGAAGGGUAAUCGAGCG